rnacentral:rRNA from 1 species
AUUGAACGCUGGCGGCAGGCUUAACACAUGCAAGUCGAGCGGAGAUGAGGUGCUUGCACCUUAUCUUAGCGGCGGACGGGAGAGUAAUGCUUAGGAAUCUGCCUAUUAGUGGGGGACAACAUUCCGAAAGGAAUGCUAAUACCGCAUACGUCCUACGGGAGAAAGCAGGGGAUCUUCGGACCUUGCGCUAAUAGAUGAGCCUAGGUCGGAUUAGCUAGGUGGUGGGGUAAAGGCCUACCAAGGCGACGAUCUGUAGCGGGUCUGAGAGGAUGAUCCGCCACACUGGGACUGAGACACGGCCCAGACUCCUACGGGAGGCAGCAGUGGGGAAUAUUGGACAAUGGGGGAAACCCUGAUCCAGCCAUGCCGCGUGUGUGAAGAAGGCCUUAUGGUUGUAAAGCACUUUAAGCGAGGAGGAGGCUACUGAGACUAAUACUCUUGGAUAGUGGACGUUACUCGCAGAAUAAGCACCGGCUAACUCUGUGCCAGCCGCCGCCGUAAAAC